rnacentral:rRNA from 1 species
GCGGAGGGAUCAUUACCGAGUUAUCAACUCCCAAACCCCUGUGAACAUACCUAUAACGUUGCCUCGGCGGGACCGCCCCGGCGCCCUUAGCGGCCCGGAACCAGGCGCCCGCCGGAGGACCCAAACUCUUGCUUUGAACAGUGGCAUACUCUCUGAGUCUCACAAACAAAAAUAAAUCAAAACUUUCAACAACGGAUCUCUUGGCUCUGGCAUCGAUGAAGAACGCAGCGAAAUGCGAUAAGUAAUGUGAAUUGCAGAAUUCAGUGAAUCAUCGAAUCUUUGAACGCACAUUGCGCCCGCCAGCAUUCUGGCGGGCAUGCCUGUCCGAGCGUCAUUUCAACCCUCAGGGAACCCCUUCUGGGGGGGACCUGGUGUUGGGGUCCGGCCGCCCGCGCCGCCCCCGAAAUGCAGUGGCGACCUCGCCGCAGCCUCCCCUGCGUAGUAGCACAACCUCGCACCGGAGCGCGGAGACGGUCACGCCGUAAAACGCCCAACUUUCACGAGUUGACCUCGGAUCAGGUAGGAAUACCCGCUG